rnacentral:rRNA from 1 species
UACGUAGGGACCGAGCGUUGUCCGGAAUCAUUGGGCGUAAAGAGCGUGUAGGCGGCCAACUAAGUCCUGCGUGAAAUCUCGGGGCUCAACCCCCGAGCGGUCGUGGGAAACUGGUUGGCUAGAGUGCGGGAGAGGAGAGUGGAAUUCCUGGUGUAGCGGUGAAAUGCGCAGAUAUCAGGAAGAACACCCGUGGCGAAGGCGGCUCUCUGGAACGCAACUGACGCUGAGACGCGAAAAGCGUGGGGAGCAAACAGG